GAACCUCAGGUUGAUUUAAGGGAGCUAGAUGUUAGUACAAGUUUUCUAGCAACCUCAGAAAUUGAAAGAACUAAUCAGUUGCAAGAGCCAUUACGUGUAAUGGAUUCAAAGAUUUCACAGAUCUUAGGGGUAUUAAGGAGUCACUUCUCAUGUAUUCCUGAUUUUAGGCAUAUGCCAGGGAUCAAGGUUAACAUAUCCUGCAUUCUGAGAUUUGAAUCUGAGCCUUUCAAUCACUUGUUUGGGGCUUCCUUCCUUACUAGUCCAGCAGAUGGAGUAGAUGCCCUUCCUUCCCUAUAUGCAAUUGUGCUCAAAUUUUCAUCCUCGGCACCAUAUGGGUCCAUUCCAUCUUAUCAUAUACCCUUCCUUCUUGGUGAACCCUCCAGGAACAAUCACAUCUCUUGCCCAUCAGUUUCACCCGACAUUGUUUCUGUGGAAAAUGACGUUGAAGAAGAGGAAAAUUAUAGAGCUCCUGUCACAAUUGAUUUGGAACCACGGGAACCUACACCUGGUCUUGUUGAUGCUUUCAUUGAAGCAAAUGUUGAAAAUGGCCAGAUAAUCCAUGGUCAGCUUCAAGGUAUUACAUUAGGUAUAGAGGACAUGUUUCUCAAGGCCAUUGUCCCAUCUGACAUCUCAGAACAUGCAGUAGCUGCAUAUUAUUCAGGAUUAUUUGAUGCUCUUUGGGAGGCUUGUGGACCUUCUGCUAACAUUGGGCGGGAGACAUUCCCAUUAAAAGGAGGCAAGGGUGUUGCAGCAAUCAAUGGGACCCGAUCGGUCAAGCUACUUGAAGUUCCUGCAGACUCUUUGAUUCGUGCAAUUGAACAGCAUUUGGCAUCCUUUGUUGUUCGUGUGAUUGGAGAACAUCUCGUUAACAUGGUGAAGGACAGGGGAAUCAUCAAAGACAUCAUAUGGAAGGAUGCUGCAUCAGAUUCUUUUUUUGUUAGUACUGCCUCCUCACUUACUGGUUUAGAUCAAGGUCCACUUCAUCUGACAUAUUUUAAUGAUGGAGAAGAGAGAGAAACUCAGGUAAAUGGCUAUAAAAGAAGGAUGGGUUGCAUUCUUUUGUUGAUAUUUCUUCCACCAAGGUUCCAUCUUCUUUUCCAAAUGGAAGUCUCUGAUAUUUCAACCUUGGUUCGAAUUAGAACCGAUCACUGGCCAUGCUUAGCAUAUGUUGAUGAUUAUUUGGAGGCUUUAUUUUUGACAUAGAGGUACAUCUCUUAACUUGUAUGAUUACAUCUCUUAACAUGGGGUCUCAUUCCAAACUUCCUUUUUUGUAGCUUCUGUAAAAUGAUUGGCAUUUUGUUGUAAUUCUUUCUCCAUAUUAUUUUUGCACAAAAGGAGGGUAAUUUUUUGACACCUCAAAAAUAAACUGUUGUGUAAAUACCCCCUGCAAGUGAGUCCCUCCCUUUUUGUAUUCUUUCAAU
rnacentral:misc_RNA from 1 species